rnacentral:tRNA from 1 species
GGGCGGUUAGCUCAGUUGGUUAGAGCGCCACAUUGACAUUGUGGAGGUCAUAGGUUCGAUUCCUGUACCGCCCACCA